AUGUCCGUCGUCCCUCCGCGCCCCGCACGUCCCGCGCGCACCCGGCGCGCCCGACGAGCCCGACCACACCAGUGCAUCCCGCAUGUCCCGCGCGCACCUGACGCGCCCGACGAGCCCGACCGCACCAGACGCUCACCGCGCGCCGCCUCCGUGUCUGCCAUGGCAGCCGCCAGCGACAAACGUCGGAAGGAUGUAGCCGAACUCGAGCACGGACUCAAGCACAACGGCGACAUACGCCUCCUCCCAACGUCAACCGCACGCUCGUACGCGCGCCCGCGGUCCCGACGCGUUCAAUGCGCACCCAUAACAAGCACCGGUCAUGCUGGGCUCACCGCCACGGCUUAUUGCCUUGCACCGCCGCGGCCUCAACUGCAGCGCAACACCUCCAUGCCGCCACGCCGCGCCACCGCGCAGGUCCGCCGGGGCCGCCGCGGCUCCGUGCCACGCGCCUCUACGGUUGUCGCGCCGAGCCGCCGCGGCCUCUGCGCCACCACGCAGGUCCUCCGCGACCUCCUCGUCUCCGCGACCACUGUGCUCUUCGCGCGCACGACAUCACACCGCACAGCCGCGGACUCGCCACGCCGUCACCACGCGCUCGCCGCGCGCCGCAGCCGAUGCCUCCAUGUCAGCCGCGCACGCCGCGUCCGCCGCGGCCACCGCGGCCUCCUCGCCGCGCUGCGCACCUCCAUAGACCGACACACGGCCCGGAGCUUCACCGCACAGCCGCCGGCAAACGCCGCCACCGCCGCCACGCCUCCGACACGGCAAGCACGCCCAAGACACCAAGCUCAUGAUACCAAUUGUGGGAACCGAAACCCUCUACCUACCUCUCCUCUCACUCGAAUGGAGGUGGAAGAAGAACAGUGGAGACAACAUUUUCCGGCCGGCGCACGAACGCCCCAAUCCUUUUCUUCCUUACAAUGGCUACAUGGCUACACACGGCUCCCCUCGAUCAAUACAUCAAGGGGCCUUUUAUACCCGGCUGCACACACAGCAUCCGGCCACCAUACCGGCCACUAA
rnacentral:rRNA from 1 species